rnacentral:lncRNA from 1 species
CUCCUCGGGCAACGGCAGUCGGCAUGGAGCAGUUCGACCUGCUAGUUCAGCAGGUCAGAGGCCUCACCGAAGCAGUACAGACCAUGCAGCAACAUCCACAAGCAUCAGUGCAGCUGGAAAGAGCAUCGUCGGAGUUUUAGAAUCUGACAACCGGACGAGCCACUUAGGCAAGUCGCCCUGUCUUCCCUGAAAAAAGGAAGCAGAAGGCGGAGAGCCUACCAUCCGAUCAUGAUUCCACCCCCAGAGAGUUCCUACCACCGUUCCACCAGAAGACCCUCGAGACCCGCAGUCGAGAGGACCUCUUGGAUCAAAGACUCCAGGAGAUGAACCGAC